GCGUCGGUAGUGGCAACGGUUAGCAUACGCUCCCGGAAAGAGUGAGAUCUGGGUUCGAAUCCCGGCUGACGCA